CUUCAUAUGUAUUUUUCCGUAAAUACAAUCCAUUUAUGACAGUCAGUAGAAAAGCCAAAAGGAUAACACUUAUCUUCGACAUCUUCGGUUUUAAAUAAAGCACGAUUUUUCUCUUUAAAAUAUAACAUACUAUCCUUAAUUUUUUCACGUUCUAUUAUUAGAAAAUAUUUUUAACGAUGGAGUGGGCUUUUGAGUCUUGGACGUGUCCUCUAUAAUAAACCGUCCUUCCCCGUUGCUACAGACAGCAG
rnacentral:lncRNA from 1 species